AUUGAACGCUGGCGGAAUGCUUUACACAUGCAAGUCGAACGGUAGAGGGGGCAACCCCUCGAGAGUGGCGAACGGGUGAGUAAUAUAUCGGAACGUGCCCAGUCGUGGGGGAUAACGUAGCGAAAGUUACGCUAAUACCGCAUACGAUCUACGGAUGAAAGCGGGGGAUCGCAAGACCUCGCGCGAUUGGAGCGGCCGAUAUCAGAUUAGGUAGUUGGUGGGGUAAAGGCUCACCAAGCCAACGAUCUGUAGCUGGUCUGAGAGGACGACCAGCCACACUGGAACUGAGACACGGUCCAGACUCCUACGGGAGGCAGCAGUGGGGAAUUUUGGACAAUGGACGCAAGUCUGAUCCAGCCAUUCCGCGUGCAGGAUGAAGGCCCUCGGGUUGUAAACUGCUUUUGUACGGAACGAAAAGGUUUCUAUUAAUACUAGGAGCUCAUGACGGUACCGUAGGAAUAAGCACCGGCUAACUACGUGCCAGCAGCCGC
rnacentral:rRNA from 1 species